rnacentral:rRNA from 1 species
UACGGGGGGGGCAAGCGUUGUUCGGAAUUACUGGGCGUAAAGGGUUCGUAGGUGGCCUACUAAGUCAGACGUGAAAUCCCUCAGCUUAACUGGGAGGGGUCAUUCGAUACUGGCGGACUCGAGGCAGGUAGGGGGAAGCGGAAUUCCCGGUGUAGUGGUGGAAUGCGUAGAUAUCGGGAGGAACACCAGUGGCGAAGGCGGCUUCCUGGACCUGUUCUGACGCUGAGGAGCGAAAGCGUGGGGAGCGAUCCGG